rnacentral:rRNA from 1 species
AUGCUUCCGACGAAGAGAGCGGACGGCGCUGAGGACAGCGGCGACGCGGCGGCGAAGAAGGCACGGGUAGGGGAAUCGGCGGCGGAGGCGGGGUCGGAGGCCAUGGUUGCCGGGGAGCCGGUCGGCGGGGGCAGUAACGGGAACGGGGUGGCGGAGAUCGAUGAGGACCUUCACAGCAGGCAGCUCGCCGUGUACGGGAGGGAGACGAUGCGGCUGCUAUUUGCGUCCAACGUGCUCGUCUCCGGCUUAAACGGGCUUGGGGCUGAGACCGCAAAGAAUCUUGCUCUGGCGGGUGUUAAAUCUGUCACCCUACAUGAUGUAGAAAAUGUGGAUAUGUGGGACCUAUCUGGCAAUUUCUUUCUAUCUGAGGAUGAUAUUGGGAAGAACAGGGCUGCUGCUUGCGUUGAAAAGCUGCAAGAACUUAACAAUGCUGUUCUUAUAUCUGCUCUGAAGGAAGAACUGACUACUGAACACCUUUCUAAGUUCCAGGCUGUUGUUUUCACCAACUUAAGUCUAGACAAGGCGGUUGAAUUUAAUGAUUACUGUCGUAGCCACCAGCCUCCAAUUCCAUUCAUCAAAACAGAAGUCUGUGGUCUUUUUGGUAGCGUAUUUUGUGACUUUGGGCCUAAGUUUACUGUUCUUGAUGUUGAUGGUGAAGAUCCCCAUACUGGUAUAAUUGCAUCCAUCAGCAAUGACAAUCCUGCAAUGGUUUCCUGCGUUGAUGAUGAGCGCCUUGAAUUCCAAGAUGGUGAUCUUGUUGUUUUCACAGAGGUCAGUGGGAUGACAGAACUGAAUGAUGGCAAGCCCAGGAAGAUAGUAGAUGCAAGGCCAUUUUCAUUUUGCAUCGAGGAGGAUACACGUAACUUUGGCAUUUAUGCAAAAGGUGGGAUUGUCACACAGGUGAAAGAACCAAUGAUCUUAGAGUUCAAGAGUCUGAGAGAAUGUAUAAAAGAACCAGGGAACUUCCUUUUGAGUGAUUUCUCAAAGUACCAGCGUCCUCCGCUGCUUCACUUCGCAUUUCUAGCCUUGGAUAAUUUCAGACAAAAGUUUGGGCGCUUCCCUGUUGCUGGUUGUGACCAGGAUGCUCAAAAAUUUGUGGAGUUUACUGCUUCUAUUAACGAGGCUGCAAUUGAUUACAAGAUGGAUGAACUUGAUGAGAAGCUGCUGCAACAUUUUGCAAGUGGUUCUAGAGCUGUUCUGAACCCAAUGGCUGCAAUGUUUGGUGGUAUUGUUGGUCAAGAAGUUGUGAAGGCUUGUUCCGGGAAAUUUCACCCGCAGUACCAGUUCUUCUAUUUUGACUCGUUAGAAUCUCUGCCAACCUAUGCAUUGGACCCUAAAGACUUGAAGCCAUUGAAUAGCCGCUACGAUGCUCAGAUUUCUGUUUUUGGUUCUAAGCUUCAGAAGAAGAUGCGGGACUCUAAUAUUUUUGUUGUGGGAUCUGGUGCUCUUGGAUGUGAAUUCUUGAAGAACUUUGCUUUAAUGGGGGUUUCUUGUGGCCGUAAAGGGAAGCUAACUAUAACAGAUGAUGAUGUCAUUGAGAAAAGCAACUUGAGCCGGCAAUUCCUGUUUCGUGAUUGGAACAUUGGACAGGCAAAAUCUACAGUAGCCGCUACAGCUGCUAGUGCUAUCAACUCCAGCCUCCAUAUUGAUGCUCUUCAGAAUCGUGCCUGUCCAGAGACUGAACAUGUUUUCAAUGAUGCAUUCUGGGAGGGCCUUGAUGCUGUCAUCAAUGCACUUGAUAAUGUCAACGCUAGGAUGUACAUGGACAUGCGAUGCCUGUACUUCCAGAAACCACUCUUGGAAUCUGGAACACUGGGUCCGAAAUGUAAUACACAGAUGGUGAUUCCUCACCUUACUGAAAACUAUGGAGCUUCACGUGAUCCUCCUGAGAAACAGGCACCAAUGUGCACAGUUCAUUCUUUUCCACACAAUAUUGACCAUUGUCUAACAUGGGCUCGCUCAGAGUUUGAGGGUCUGCUAGAGAAAACUCCAAAUGAAGUGAACUCAUUUAUGUCUAAUCCUGCUGAAUAUGCUGCUGCUAUGAGAAAGGCAGGUGAUGCUCAAGCCAGGGAAUUGUUGGAGCGUGUACGUGAAUGCCUUGACAAGGAGCGAUGUGAUAAAUUUGAAGACUGCAUAGCCUGGGCAAGACUGAAGUUUGAAGAUUACUUCUCUAAUCGUGUGAAGCAGCUAACGUUCACAUUUCCUGAAGAUGCUGCCACUAGCACUGGUGCUCCUUUCUGGUCAGCCCCUAAGCGUUUCCCUUGCCCGGUGCAAUUCUCAGCUGUUGAUUCAUCUCACAUUCAAUUUAUACUGGCUGCUUCCAUAUUGAGAGCCGUGUCUUUCGGGAUCCCCAUACCGGACUGGGCGAAGAACAUGGGUAAUCUGGCUGAUAUAGUAAGUAAGGUUGCAGUGCCUGAAUUUGAGCCAAAGAGUGGGGUUAAGAUUGAAACAGAUGAGAAGGCCACUAACCUCUCCAGUGCAUCAGUUGACGAUGCCGCUGUUAUCGAAGACCUUUUAACCAAGCUGGAAGCAUGUGCCAAGAAACUACCUUCAGGAUUCCAAAUGAAGCCCAUUCAGUUUGAGAAGGAUGAUGAUACAAAUUUCCACAUGGACUUGAUUGCUGGUCUUGCUAAUAUGCGUGCGAGAAACUAUGGUAUUCAAGAGGUUGACAAGCUGAAGGCCAAGUUCAUUGCAGGAAGAAUCAUUCCAGCUAUUGCAACUACGACAGCCAUGGCCACAGGCCUUGUGUGCCUUGAGCUGUACAAGGUUCUGGCAGGUGACCACCCAGUUGAAGACUACCGCAAUACGUUUGCCAACCUGGCACUACCAAUGUUCUCCAUGGCUGAACCUGUACCGCCCAAGGAGAUGAAGCAUCAAGACAUGAGAUGGACAGUAUGGGACCGAUGGUCUAUCAAGGGCAACAUUACUGUCGCAGAACUCCUGAAGUGGUUAAGCGACAAGGGCCUGACUGCUUACAGCGUCUCCUGUGGCACAUCCUUGCUGUACAACACCAUGUUCCCGAGGCACAAGGAUCGACUGAAGAGGAAGAUGGUGGAUGUCGCCCAGGAGGUGGCUAAGGUAGAUGUUCCAGCAUACAGGAAGCAUUUUGAUGUUGUUGUGGCUUGCGAGGAUGAUGACGGGAACGACAUUGAUAUUCCUCUUAUCUCCAUUUACUUCCGAUAG